GGAGAGGUGGCCGAGCGGUUUAAGGCAGCGGUCUUGAAAACCGCCAGGAGGGAAACCUCCUCGUGGGUUCGAAUCCCACCCUCUCCGCCA
rnacentral:tRNA from 1 species